UACAGAGGGUGCGAGCGUUAAUCGGAAUUACUGGGCGUAAAGCGUGCGUAGACGGUAGCGUAAGUCAGAUGUGAAAGCCCCGGGCUCAACCUGGGAAUUGCAUUCGAGACUGCUCUGCUCGGGUGCGGAAGAGGGAAGCGGAAUUUCCGGUGUAGCGGUGAAAUGCGUAGAUAUCGGAAGGAACACCAGUGGCGAAAGCGGCUUCCUGGUCCGACACCGACGUUCAGGCACGAAAGCGUGGGGAGCAAACAGG
rnacentral:rRNA from 1 species